rnacentral:rRNA from 1 species
UUGGACAUGGAGGAACUCUGAUCCAGCCAUGCCGCGUGCAGGAUGAAUGCCCUAUGGGUUGUAAACUGCUUUUAUACAGGAAGAAACAUUUCCACGUGUGGAAACUUGACGGUACUGUAAGAAUAAGGAUCGGCUAACUCCGUGCCAGCAGCCGCGGUAAUACGGAGGAUCCAAGCGUUAUCCGGAAUUAUUGGGUUUAAAGGGUCCGUAGGUGGUUAUUUAAGUCAGAGGUGAAAUCCUGCCGCCUAACGGUAGAACUGCCUUUGAUACUGAUUAACUUGAGUUAUUGUGAAGUAGUUAGAAUAUGUAGUGUAGCGGUGAAAUGCAUAGAUAUUACAUAGAAUACCGAUUGCGAAGGCAGAUUACUAACAAUAUACUGACACUGAGGGACGAAAGCGUGGGUAGCGAACAGGAUUAGAUACCCUGGUAGUCCACGCCGUAAACGAUGGUCACUAGCUGUUUGAUUAACAUUGGUUAAUUAAGUGGCUAAGCGAAAGUGAUAAGUGACCCACCUGGGGAGUACGCUCGCAAGAAUGAAACUCAAAGGAAUUGACGGGGGCCCGCACAAGCGGUGGAGCAUGUGGUUUAAUUCGAUGAUACGCGAGGAACCUUACCAGGGCUUAAAUGUAGAUUGCAUAAGCUAGAGAUAGCUUUUUCUUCGGACUAUCUACAAGGUGCUGCAUGGUUGUCGUCAGCUCGUGCCGUGAGGUGUCAGGUUAAGUCCUAUAACGAGCGCAACCCCUGUCGUUAGUUGCCAACAGGUUAUGCUGGGAACUCUAACGAGACUGCCGGUGCAAACUGAGAGGAAGGUGGGGACGACGUCAAAUCAUCACGGCCCUUACGUCCUGGGCUACACACGUGCUACAAUGGUCGGUACAGAGAGCAGCCACCUUGCGAAAGGGAGCAAAUCUUUAAAACCGGUCUCAGUUCGGAUCGCAGUCUGCAACUCGACUGCGUGAAGCUGGAAUCGCUAGUAAUCGCAUAUCAGCCAUGAUGCGGUGAAUACGUUCCCGGGCCUUGUACACACCGCCCGUCAAGCCAUGGAAGCUGGGGGUACCUGAAGUCGGUGACCGAAAGGAGCUGCCUAGGGUAAAACUAGUGACUGGGGCUAAGUCGUAACAAGGUAGCCGUACCGGAAGGUGCGGCUGGAACACCUCCUUUCU